rnacentral:rRNA from 1 species
CUAAAUACUACCCAGUGACCGAUAGCGUAUAGUACUGUGAAGGAAAGGUGAAAAGCACCCCGGGAGGGGAGUGAAAAAGAACCUGAAACCCUGUGCCUACAAGCACCUAGAGCACGUCAAUGUGUGAUAGGGUACUUUUUGUAGAACGGUCCGGCGAGCGAUUGUAUGCAGCAAGGUUAAGGACUUAAGGUCUGGAGCCGAAGCGAAAGCGAGUUUGAAAAGGGCGUUAAGUUGCAUAUAAUGGGCCCGAAACCGGGUGACCUACCCAUGGUCAGGUUGAAGUGGAAGUAAAAUUCCAUGGAGGACCGAACCGACCUCCGUUGAAAAGGCGGCGGAUGAACUGUGGGUAGCGGAGAAAUUCCAAUCGAACCCGGAGAUAGCUGGUUCUCCCCGAAAUAGUUUUAGGACUAGCCUCAAGUUAGAUACCUGGAGGUAAAGCACUGAAUAGCCUAGCGGCCGAGAGGUUAGCGAAGCUUAUCAAACUCAGAAUGCCAGAGUAUUGAUGCUUGGGAGUCAGACAGUGUCAGAUAAAUGUCAUUGUCAAAAGGGAAACAGCCCAGAUCUACAGCUAAGGUCCCAAAGUCAGGUUAAGUGGAAAACGAUGUGAAGAUACGCAGACAACCAGGAUGUUGGCUCAGAAGCAGCCACUCAUUCAAAGAGUGCGUAAUAGCUCACUGGUCGAGCGUCUUUGCGCGGAGAAUUUAACGGGGCUAAACCUGACACCGAAGCUUAGGCAAUACAGCAAUGUAUUGGGUAGGGGAGCGUUGUAUACGCGGUGAAACAGUAGCGCAAGCGGCUGUGGAGUGUAUAGAAGUGAGAAUGCCGGAAUGAGUAGCGCGAAUGCAGUGAGAAUCUGCAUGGCCGAAAGCCUCAGGUUUCUGGAGGAAGGUUCGUCCGCUCCAGGUUAGUCGGGAGCUAAGGUGAGGCCGGAAGGCGUAGCCGAUGCACAGACGGUAGAGAUUCCGUCACCACCAAAAGAGUUAAGCACAGGGACACAUUUGAAGUCUCAGAGCCGGGUGUUGGUUCCGGUAGAGAUCGAGGGAAGUUAGUACCGAAGUCUGAGAUGGAAGAUGGCGAGAAAAGCUGUGUGUAUUUCUGAGGUGCCCGUACCGCAAACCGACACAGGUAGGUAGGAAGAAGAUUCUAAGGCCAACGGGAGAAGGGUUGUUAAGGAACUCGGCAAAUUGACCCCGUAACUUCGGGAGAAGGGGUGCUCCAGAGAUGGAGCCGCAGAGAAUCGGCCCAAGCAACUGUUUACCAAAAACACAGGUUUGUGCUAAAUCGAAAGAUGACGUAUACGAGCUGACGCCUGCCCGGUGCUGGAAGGUUAAGAGGAGAUGUGCAAGCAUUGAAUCGAAGCCCCAGUGAACGGCGGCCGUAACUAUAACGGUCCUAAGGUAGCGAAAUUCCUUGUCAGGUAAG